UUUCUGCACUUUUUCUCCAAUUUCCCAAUUUCUUCCUUUUCUGUAAAAACAAGAUAAAAACCAUAAAUUAAGCUAAAAAAUGUGUAAAUAAACAAUAAAAAAGAUAAUAAAAAUGUGGCUAAUUUAUGCUUGAUCAAAUACCCCCACACCUAGCUUUUUGCUUGUCCUCAAGCAAUAAAUAACUUAGCCAAUCAAGCCCCUUUUUCCUUAGAGCCUAAGUACCACCUAAUCAGCCCCCCCUAGACUCCUAAUCUGAAUUAUCACAGUAUAGAGUACAUGCACUAAGGUCAUCCUCUCCUUUCCUUGUUUCCUUUCACCUACCAUGGUCAAGAGAAAGGUUUUUGAAUCAAUCAUGCUUAUUCCUUUAUGUUAGUUUUAAUGCAACCCCUAGGAGUGACUUGCCCCUUUUCUUCUCUCUUCCUUUUUAUUUUUAUUUUUAUUUUCAGCAGCACUUAUUCUUAUCCUUGCCUGAAAAAGUCACUAACCUUUUUACGCGAUUGUGUACAUGGGUGAUACACCCCCGGUUACUCAGUUAGUCACUUGUUCAAGUGGCUACUAGCUCUGUUCAUAGUCUAGACCAUCGAAACUUAUUUGCUUGGAAAAGUCACUGACCUUUUUACGCGAUUGUGUACAUGGGUGAUACACCCCCGGUUACUCAGUCAGUCACUUCUCCAAGUGGCUAUUAGACUCAGUUCAUAGUCUUAAACCAUUGGAACAAGUUUAUGAUUUGUGCUUUAUGCUGGUUUUUUAUGAUAGUUUGGGCAAAUCAGCUCAUAGGGAGUUACACUAACUUUGUGUUUGCAUGUAUUUGUAUUUUUAUU
rnacentral:lncRNA from 1 species